rnacentral:rRNA from 1 species
GACGAACGCUGGCGGCGUGCUUAACACAUGCAAGUCGAACGGAAAGGCCCUGCUUUUGUGGGGUGCUCGAGUGGCGAACGGGUGAGUAACACGUGAGUAACCUGCCCUUGACUUUGGGAUAACUUCAGGAAACUGGGGCUAAUACCGGAUAGGAGCUCCUGCUGCAUGGUGGGGGUUGGAAAGUUUCGGCGGUUGGGGAUGGACUCGCGGCUUAUCAGCUUGUUGGUGGGGUAGUGGCUUACCAAGGCUUUGACGGGUAGCCGGCCUGAGAGGGUGACCGGCGACAAUGGGACUGAGAUACGGCGCAGAAUCCUACGGGAGGCAGCAGUGGGGAAUAUGGCACAAUGGGCGGAAGCCUGAUGCAGCAGCGCCGCGUGCGGGAUGACGGCCUUCGGGUUGUAAACCGCUUUCGCCGGUGACGAAGCGUGAGUGACGGUAAUGGGUAAAGAAGCACCGGCUAACUACGUG